AUUGGGGGAAUAACGAACGCGUUGGUGCGCUUGGUUCGACAAUCCGACGAGUGUACGCGAAGUUAUUGACGAAACAAUCUGUUUUGGUACAGAUAGCCGCAGCACGCGGGAUAAGCCUCCAAAAAUCAUGAAAAUGGAUCGGGAGCAUCGCGAUGUCGGGGAAUAAACUCCCGAACAGACGGAUCGCGAAUUGGUGGCCGUUCGGGUGGUCGCGCAAGAGUUCGGGCCAAACCGGGUCACGGGUGCCGCGGGAGGCCGAUUGCAAGUGACUACAAGCAAUCGGAGAGCAAUUUAAGGUGGGUUGUGUUUACCGAAGCGACUAGGUCGCCUCUAUGUCUAAGAGUGAUGGUUUCAUGUUGAUGCAUGUAAUGGUAGCUAAUGAUAGAAUGUAUAAAUGCAUGAAAAGGAUAUGAUGUGGGCCACCCAACAAUGCAUAUGGUCAUAGUGCGAGAAUGCUAAGAAUGCAUAUGGAUAUGAAAUAAGAAUGCUAAAGAGAAAGUAUGAUAAGCAUGUUGUGGAGAUCCUAAUGUAAAGAUGUUAAGUAUAUGACAUGUGCAUAUGGACAUAUAUAUAUAUAUAUACACAUAGAUCGAGUGGCAUUGAACCUAGUGUUAACAAACAUAGGUUGAACAAGAAUGACAACGAACCUAGCGUCAAGGACAUAGGUUGAACAAGAGUGAUAGUGAACCUAGUGUCAAUGAACAUAGGUUAACGAGAAAAGCAGUAAACCUAAUGUUAGAGAACAUAGGUUGUGAAAUAAAGGUAAGGAACCUAGAGUUAAGUGAAACUAGGUAGAAAAGAAUAAUGGAUCUAGUGUUAACAACCUAGACUAUGAGUAUGAAAGCAACGAACCUAAAGUAUUAACUUAGGUUGAGUAAAGGCUUGGACCUAGAUAGGUCGAUACUAUAGGGUGAGACCAACCCUAGAGAUGUGAAUGUAGAUUCCGGAAUCCCUAGGAAUGAAGGCUGCUAGUGCAGCGGAUAAGGCUUGCGACCGAGCGCAAGUGAAUCAUAACUGUGGGUAUGUUGGUUCUCCUCGCCCGACAGUGAUUCAACGGGUAUGUUGGUUCUCCUCGCCCGGUAAAAGAGAUGGCUAAUGAGAAUCAUAACUGUGGGUAUGUUGGUUCUCCUCGCCCGACAGUGAUUCAACGGGUAUGUUGGUUCUCCUCGCCCCGUAUGCCAUGAGCUAGAGCUCGAGAGACUUGUGGUCCGGAGUUUGAUGGCAUUCCUCACUCCGUGGCAGACCUACAGUCGAGAGGAUUUAAGGCUGAGGUGCAUGUGAUAGUUCCUUCACCUCGAGCCUGACAGAGCGCGGACUAUCCGCAGUUGAUUGACUCAAGACCGAGUCGAGUGGCAUAGUUGGCUAAGGUAAUGUAACCAUAAGAAAAAAUGGCAAAUGAGACUAAUAUGGCUAAGGUGUGACUACCCUUAGUAAAGAAUAAAGAAUAAAGAAUAAAGAGUAAAGACUAGAGAAUAAAGAACGGCUAAUGUUAGAGAAUGGCACAUGCUAAAGAAUAGCUAAUAAUGUAAAGAAUGAUUAACAAUAAAGAUUGGCUAAGAGUAAAGAAUGGUUAAGAAUAAAGAGUAGAAUCAAUAAUCUACUUUCAUGAGUUGCAUGAUUUGCAUAUUGCAUAUUCGUGAGGCAUGUUAUCUGUUAGUUGCAUAAUUAUAUGAUGAUAUAUAUAUCUGUAGAUGUUUUUGGACUAACAUGAUUGCAGUGCCUCCUUGGACCUAUCAGUCGAGCUUUUCACUUGGGUGGCUGUACCCACUGACGACUAUGGACAAUAGUCUCACCCCCGUGUUGUUGUUUUUGGGGGUACAGGUUCACACGCGAGCGGCGCGGCGGCGCGAGGAAAGGGCGUAGCUCCGUAGUUAGCGCCCUACCACAGAGACCAGAUAGCAGCACCCUAAGUCGGCUUCUUAGGGGUAUAAGAAAAGAAAAGAAAAGAAUCGAUGUUGUAAUAUUAUGUUUAGAAAUCGAUUGUAUAUUUGGAAGUUGAGAAUCAAUGUAAUGAAAAAUGCGAUGUAAAAUGAUGAGAUGAAUGAUUGUAAUAAUAUAGGAUGUGUUAUGUUGUUUGAUACCUUCCUUAUGCAAUCGUUGUUGAAAAUUGUUCCUGUUUGGAACCUCUUGUAAUUGUAUUGAUUGCGACGCCUUGAAUGUACAGGGGAGACUCUGUCCGCAUGCAGGGGAAACCCUGUCCGUUCGGCGGUCUGUUGGCGUGCCCGAAUCCGACCAAAGAGGCGGGCUCGGGGCGUGACACUAGUAUCACUCAAUCCAUCUCUAG
rnacentral:lncRNA from 1 species